rnacentral:rRNA from 1 species
AUACGUAGGGAGCGAGCGUUGUCCGGAAUUACUGGGUGUAAAGGGAGCGUAGGCGGGAGUGCAAGUCAGAUGUGAAAUGCAUGGGCUUAACCCAUGAGCUGCAUUUGAAACUGCAUUUCUUGAGUGAAGUAGAGGUAAGCGGAAUUCCUGGUGUAGCGGUGAAAUGCGUAGAUAUCAGGAGGAACACCGGUGGCGAAGGGGGCUUACUGGGCUUUUACUGACGCUGAGGCUCGAAAGCGUGGGGAGCAAACAGGAUUAGAUACCCUGGUAGUCCACGCUGUAAACGAUGAUUACUAGGUGUGGGGGGACUGACCCCUUCCGUGCCGCAGUUAACACAAUAAGUAUUCCGCCUGGGGAGUACGGCCGCAAGGUUGAAACUCAAAUGAAUUGGCGGGG